rnacentral:rRNA from 1 species
ACGGAAGGCAGCAGUGGGGAAUAUUGGGCAAUGGGGGCAACCCUGACCCAGCAACGCCGCGUGAAGGAAGAAGGCCUUCGGGUUGUAAACUUCUUUUACCAGGGACGAUAAUGACGGUACCUGGAGAAAAAGCAACGGCUAACUACGUGCCAGCAGCCGCGGUAAUACGUAGGUUGCAAGCGUUGUCCGGAUUUACUGGGUGUAAAGGGCGUGUAGGCGGGGCAGCAGGUCAGAUGUGAAAUCCCGGGGCUCAACCCCGGAACUGCAUUUGAAACUGUAGCUCUUGAGUAUCGGAGAGGCAAGCGGAACUCCUAGUGUAGCGGUGAAAUGCGUAGAUAUUAGGAAGAACACCAGUGGCGAAGGCGGCUUGCUGGACGACAACUGACGCUGAGGCGCGAAAGCGUGGGGAUCAAACAGGAUUAGAUACCCUGGUA